rnacentral:lncRNA from 1 species
AUCUUUAUUAAAAUAUUAUUGUUAUUAAAUGAUUUGUUAUUAAUUAAGGCAGCUUUUGAAGAUCUCUGAGGAGGACAAAACACAACCACAUCUUAUCAUACUUAAGGCCUACAAGAAAGCUGGAGGGGGACUCUUUGUCAGGAACUCAGUAUAGAGAGCCUAAGUAAAAGCAACAUUCCCUGCAAAGCUCAUGCAAAAUACCUUCCUGAGGUAGGAUUAGCAGUCCUUGAUGGUUCAUGGCAUUGGGCAAGAGGAUAAUUGAAGAUAUACCUGUCUUGAAUCAUCUCUCUGAUCAUCAGAUCUAGUCUCAGAUCAUUUUGGGACCUCAGGAAAUGCUUGCCAACUGGGACAAAAGUUUCAGAGAGAACUUAUACUGUAACUUAGUCAGUAUAGUAAGUUAACUUAACCUAGCUCAAAGGAUUCCAGCCUUGUAGAUAAAUAUGAUUUUACAGUAUCAGUAGAAUGGAUUCUGCUGGGAAGGACUUCAGAGAGUAAGAUUUAGGGGAAGUCUUUGAACUGAAAA